rnacentral:rRNA from 1 species
GGUAUUUUGACUAUACAAAGGUAUUGAAAUAAGAUUUUAAUUGAAUGCUAAGAGAAUGGAAACCCAGAAAAUAACUUUUUUUAAAUUAAAAAUUGAAGUUUUUUCAAUUUGUGCAGAAACAAUUAUAAAUAUUAAGGACAAGAAGACCCUACGAAUUUAUUAAAUUUUAUUUAGUAUAUAAAUAAUACUAAUGAAAUUUUAGCUGGGGCGGCUAAAAAAUAUUUUAAACUUUUUAAAAAAUAAAAUGAUCCAUUAUUAAUGAUUAUAUGAUUAAAUA